ACACAGGUGGUCAGGUAGAGAAUACCAAGGCGCUUGAGAGAACUCGGGUGAAGGAACUAGGCAAAAUGGUGCCGUAACUUCGGGAGAAGGCACGCUGACAUGUAGGUGAAGUGAUUUACUCAUGGAGCUGAAGUCAGUCGAAGAUACCAGCUGGCUGCAACUGUUUAUUAAAAACACAGCACUGUGCAAACACGAAAGUGGACGUAUACGGUGUGACGCCUGC
rnacentral:rRNA from 1 species